ACUAAUUAAAACCAUUAGGGGCGGGUUCUCCUGCCCUCUCGAUUGUAGAAGCAGCGCGGACAGACUAUACGUCGGGUGGUCGUUCCCCACCCGGCGCGAAAGAAGUGAGCUCUUCAGACAAUCUUCGAGGGUAGCGUCUGCUACCCUUUUUUUUCCGGAGUAGA
rnacentral:sRNA from 2 species